GCCUCUGUAGUGUAGUCCGGCCAAUCAUAUUGCCCUCUCGAGGCAAUGACCCGGGUUCAAAUCCCGGCGGAGGCA
rnacentral:tRNA from 1 species